rnacentral:rRNA from 1 species
GUGCCAGCCGCCGCGGUAAUACGGAGGGUGCAAGCGUUAUCCGGAUUCACUGGGUUUAAAGGGAGCGUAGGUGGGCUUGUAAGUCAGUGGUGAAAUCUCUGGGCUUAACCCGGAAACUGCCAUUGAUACUAUAGGUCUUGAAUUCUCUGGAGGUAAGCGGAAUAUGUCAUGUAGCGGUGAAAUGCUUAGAUAUGACAUAGAACACCCAUUGCGAAGGCAGCUUACUACGGAGACAUUGACACUGAGGCUCGAAAGCGUGGGGAUCAAACAGGAUUAGAUACCCGUGUAGUCC